rnacentral:rRNA from 1 species
GAUGAACGCUGGCGGCGUGCCUAAUACAUGCAAGUCGAGCGAACGGACGAGAAGCUUGCUUCUCUGAUGUUAGCGGCGGACGGGUGAGUAACACGUGGAUACCCUACCUAUAAGACUGGGAUCACUUCGGGAAACCGGAGCUAAUACCGGAUAAUAUUUUGAACCGCAUGGUUCAAAAGUGAAAGACGGUCUUGCUGUCACUUAUAGAUGGAUCCGCGCUGCAUUAGCUAGUUGGUAAGGUAACGGCUUACCAAGGCAACGAUGCAUAGCCGACCUGAGAGGGUGAUCGGCCACACUGGAACUGAGACACGGUCCAGACUCCUACGGGAGGCAGCAGUAGGGAAUCUUCCGCAAUGGGCGAAAGCCUGACGGAGCAACGCCGCGUGAGUGAUGAAGGUCUUCGGAUCGUAAAACUCUGUUAUUAGGGAAGAACAUAUGUGUAAGUAACUGUGCACAUCUUGACGGUACCUAAUCAGAAAGCCACGGCUAACUACGUG